AGUAAUCGAUCAUUUGAUUCCGAAUACGCUCUAUUCAUUUGAUUUCGGAUACGCUCUAUUCACCUCUUGUCAGAGGCCAUCCCCCGUAUCACUUCCACCACCAUUUAGCCAGGAGAGAGAUUAUCUUUGAUUCGAAGCCCCCCUUUUUUCUUGGAUCGACACACCCGACCUCAGCGCCCCAGCGCGAUGAAUAGCUGAUCCCCUUCUCGACCGGCCGGCGAAGCACGGGCGGUUUGGCCGACACAAUCAAAAUCGCGGGCGGUGGUUCGUUCAUCCUGCACCCACCCACACGCUUACCCAGAUCUCGCGCGCCGCCGCCAGGGCAAUGGUGUCUGAGCCCGACCCCGACCCCGACGUCUCCCUCCUGCCCCCCGCUCCGAACCCUAGCCACAAACCCUGCCUCCGGGCAGCCAAGACCACGGCCUUCAAGCGCGAGGAGCGCCACAAGCGCAAGGAGCAGAAGCGGGAGUUCAAGCGGCAGCGCAAGGAGCAGAAGCGGGAGCGCAAGGAGCAGCGCAAGGAGCAGAAGCGGGAGGCGCCGCAAGCGCAAGGAGGAGAAGCGCGAUCGCCGCAAGCGCAAGGAGGAGAAGCGCGAGCGCAAGCGGCAGCGGAAGCGGGAGGACACCCUCGCCCUCGCGCUCGCCCAGUGGGAGCCCCUCGGUGCCCCGGCUGCCGCCUCCGCCCCCUGCGCGCCACCCGAAGACAGGCCCGGGCCGCGUGACCCGUCCUCGCCCGCGGGCGCCGUGCCCUCCGCCUCCUGGAUCUGGGGCCCUCCAGCGGAACCCUCCGCCGACAGGGCCUAGGGACGCGGGCUCUGAGCCCGAGGGGAUUCUACGAGGCGGAGCGAGGGAGACGGGGUGGUUCCUGUGCCUGGUGUGCGAGGGGAUCGGCGCCAAGGCGGGCAUGCGGUUCCCGGGCUGCUGGUGCAGCACGCCGGCUCGGUCGCCCGGGCCAAGAGGCGGCUCACGCCGCCGCCGCCCUGGGCUGCCUGCUCGGACAACGCCCUUUCCGGUAGAUUGUGACAACGAUGGCGCUUGUGAUCAAGCUGAGCACUUGGAUGAUUCUGAAAGUGCAGAAAUGGAGGUGGCCUAGUUUUGUUCUUCGUGCUAAGUUAGAGAUUCUUUCUUGGUCAGAAAGCUUAGAAAUACAUGCGAUCUGGUUUGAUGUAUGGAUAACCUGGAUGGUCAUUGUCAACGCCUGCGUCUAAUCUAGUUCGAUGCUCUGGUAUUGUUGAUGCUUGUUUUUAACAUCUAAAGCUGUAUUAAAAGUUCAGUUUUACUAUUUUUCAGCCGUCUGUUUUUAA